rnacentral:misc_RNA from 1 species
AGAAUACUAAAGGUAGAUCUGAUUCUCUGCAAAACCCUACACAGAUCGAAGAGAGGAAAAACAAGAAUCAUGGCGGAGCACUUGGCCUCCAUAUUCGGAACGGAGAAGGACAGAGUGAACUGUCCUUUCUACUUUAAGAUCGGAGCCUGCAGGCAUGGCGAUCGCUGCUCUAGGCUUCACACUAAGCCCAGCAUCAGCCCUACUCUUCUCCUCUCCAAUAUGUACCAGCGCCCUGAUAUGCUCACUCCCGGCGUAGAUCCUUCAGCGCAAUCUCAGUCCCUUGACCCCCGCAAGACACAAGAUCACUUCGAAGAUUUCUAUCAGGAUCUUUUUGAGGAGCUCAGCAAAUAUGGAGAUAUCGAGAGCUUAAAUAUCUGUGAUAAUCUCGCUGAUCACAUGGUGGGUAAUGUUUAUGUUCAGUUCAGAGAAGAAGAGCACGCAGCGAAUGCCCUUAACAAUCUAAAUGGGAGGUUUUAUGCAGGGCGCCCAAUCAUUGUUGACUUCUCUCCUGUUACGGAUUUCCGCGAAGCUACAUGUAGGCAGUAUGAGGAAAAUGUAUGCAAUCGAGGUGGCUACUGCAACUUCAUGCAUCUGAAGAAGAUUAGCAGGGAGUUAAGGAGGCGCUUAUUUGGGAGGAAUAGGCGAAGACGUAGCCGCAGUAGAAGCCAUAGCCCUAGCAGGCACCGUGGUUAUGAAGAACGCUCUCACAAUAGCCGCAAUUCUGGUAGACGAGAUGAUGAUAGGGAUCAUCAACAUGAGAGGGGCAGGAGGCAUAGAAGCCGAAGUCCUGGACGCAGAGGAGGGCGAAGCAGAAGUCCUGCUGGAAGGAGGAAUAGAAGUCCUCCUGUUAGAGAGAGCAGUGUUGAAAGAAGGGCUAAGAUUGAGCAGUGGAACCGGGAGAGAGAACAGACAGAAUCUGGUAAUAGAGACAGCCAAAAUCUCAACAAUGACAGGAACAGCAAUGGUGAUGCAAAGAAUGGAGGUCAUUACGAUGAUCCUCGGUAGGAUCUCUGUGGAUGUAAAUGCUGACCCCCUGGAAUCUUCGGGUUUGUUUCUCAGCUACAUAUUGGAAUAUUAAAAGGCCUUCUAUUCUUAAACAUGAAGUGAUUGCAACUGUUCUUUUGAUGAGAUGGCCCAUCUAGAAAAUAUAGCUUACUGCCAUUUCCACUAUGCAGGUGGAGUACAGGUUCACUGUCAUGUGUUAUGAAAGUGAAUAACUUUUCCUUAUAACUGCUUGAUAGAUUAAAAGGAAGAGAUAUAAAAAAUAAUUUUAAUAAAAUGAGAAGGAAAUGGACCAAAAAAUGGGGGGAAAAGUCCAUAUUCCUUACAGGUUCAAAUCUUCUUUUUGUUCUGCAAGGUGUUUAGGGUUUUUUGGACCUUUAAAUGAAUUUUUUUCCCCUUCUAAAAUCUUCCAAACUAAAUCAGUUUUUGUUAUUUGUUUUCUUUUGAAAUCCCAAAAGAGGUGUUUAAAUAUUCUUUUGAUGAGAUGGUACUGUUUUUUUAACUCUUUGCAAUACCAUUUCCAACUAAAAGAACACAGGAGGAGGCUUUAUCUGCUCAGUUUACCUAUCUCCUUAUAGUCGAUUGCAGGCAGGCAUGGGUAAUUAAUUUUUACAGGGAUUUGGCAUGGCCUUCUGUUGUUACAAAUCAUUUUCCUUCAAAGCUUAUCUUACAUGCUUUAUGAGUUUUGCAGGUUCAGGCUUUCCUGCUUCUCAGGAUCAGCCUCAAUCUUUUAUUGCAGCUUACCAUGAUAUUUGUAUACAGGUUGGCUGUUUAUCUGCAGAGCGUGUUUGCAGGAUUCUAGUGUUGUGGAAGGAUUGAGAAAGUCCCUCGACCUUUUGUAAAAUCAAGAGAACAGCUAAUAUAAAAGGGGGAAACGCCUGACAUAAUACUUUGACAUACCAAGAUCCAACUACUGUUUAGACAUUAAGUUUGUGGAAUGUGAGCAGCAACUAUUUUUUUUUUUUCAGCUAUUAAAACAUCGUUGAGAUUUUUUGAUAUAUUUGUCUUUGGUUUGGCAUCAUGUGAAUGAGCUUGUGAGCUGUGACCAAAAGAAUACAUUUAAAAAAACCUUGCUUGCUUAGUCUUGAAUUGU